GUUGAUAAGGUUAAGUGAAUAAGGGCGCACGGUGGAUGCCUUGGCACUAGGAGCCGAUGAAGGACGGGACUAACACCGAUAUGCUUUGGGGAGCUGUACGUAAGCUAUGAUCCAGAGAUUUCCGAAUGGGGGAACCCAACAUCUUUAAUAGGAUGUUACGAUUGUGUGAAUACAUAGCACAUUCGAGGUAGACGCAGAGAACUGAAACAUCUAAGUACCUGCAGGAAGAGAAAGAAAAAUCGAUUCCCUGAGUAGCGGCGAGCGAAACGGGAAAAGCCCAAACCAACAAGCUUGCUUGUUGGGGUUGUAGGACUCCAAUAUGGUCGUUCUUUCAGAUAGUCGAAUGACUUGGAAAAGUCAGUCAAAGAGGGUAAAAACCCCGUAGACGAAAUGUGGAAGACACCUAGGAGGAUCCUGAGUACGGCGGAACACGAGAAAUUCCGUCGGAAUCCGGGAGGACCAUCUCCCAAGGCUAAAUACUCCCUAGUGACCGAUAGUGAACCAGUACCGUGAGGGAAAGGUGAAAAGCACCCCGGAAGGGGAGUGAAAUAGAACCUGAAACCGUGUGCCUACAACAAGUCAAAGCCCGUUAAUGGGUGAUGGCGUGCCUUUUGUAGAAUGAACCGGCGAGUUACGAUUGCAUGCGAGGUUAAGUUGAAGAGACGGAGCCGCAGCGAAAGCGAGUCUGAAUAGGGCGUUUGAGUAUGUAGUCGUAGACCCGAAACCAUGUGAUCUACCCAUGUCCAGGUUGAAGGUGCGGUAAAACGCACUGGAGGACCGAACCCACGUACGUUGAAAAGUGCGGGGAUGAGGUGUGGGUAGCGGAGAAAUUCCAAACGAACUUGGAGAUAGCUGGUUCUCUCCGAAAUAGCUUUAGGGCUAGCCUCGGAAUUGAGAAUGAUGGAGGUAGAGCACUGUUUGGACUAGGGGCCCAUCUCGGGUUACCGAAUUCAGAUAAACUCCGAAUGCCAUUCAUUCAUAUCCGGGAGUCAGACUGUGAGUGAUAAGAUCCAUAGUCGAAAGGGAAACAGCCCAGACCACCAGCUAAGGUCCCAAAAUAUAUGUUAAGUGGAAAAGGAUGUGGGGUUGCACAGACAACUAGGAUGUUGGCUUAGAAGCAGCCACCAUUUAAAGAGUGCGUAAUAGCUCACUAGUCGAGUGACCCUGCGCCGAAAAUGUACCGGGGCUAAACAUAUUACCGAAGCUGUGGAGUACACCUUUAGGUGUAUUGGUAGGAGAGCGUUCUAAGGGCGUCGAAGGCAGAUCGUGAGGACUGCUGGAGCGCUUAGAAGUGAGAAUGCCGGUAUGAGUAGCGAAAGACAGGUGAGAAUCCUGUCCACCGAAUGACUAAGGUUUCCUGGGGAAGGCUCGUCCGCCCAGGGUUAGUCGGGACCUAAGCCGAGGCCGAUAGGCGUAGGCGAUGGAUAACAGGUUGAUAUUCCUGUACCCGUUGUUUUUGUUUGAGCAAUGGAGGGACGCAGG
rnacentral:rRNA from 1 species